UACGGGGGGAGCAAGCGUUGUUCGGAUUUACUGGGCGUAAAGGGCGCGUAGGCGGUCGUGACAAGUCACUUGUGAAAUCUCCGGGCUUAACUCGGAACGGUCAAGUGAUACUGUCGGACUAGAGUACAGAAGGGGCAACUGGAAUUCUCGGUGUAGCGGUGAAAUGCGUAGAUAUCGAGAGGAACACCUGCGGCGAAGGCGGGUCUCUGGGCCGAUACUGACGCUGAGGAGCGAAAGCGCGGGGAGCGAACAGG
rnacentral:rRNA from 1 species